rnacentral:rRNA from 1 species
AACGCACAUAGCGCCCGCCAGCACUCUGGCGGGCAUGCCCGUCCGAGCGUCGAUUACACCGCUCGAGUCCGCUUCCUGUGGGCUCGGUGUUGGGGCACUAGGGGCGCCGUUACAAGGCACCCUAGGCCCCCAAAGUCAUUGCGCGGCCCCCGCCAUUGGGACCUGAGCACAGUAAACAUCUCACGUUGAGCUGCUCCAGGGCCCGCGCGGCGGUGCCAGCCGUAAAAACCCCCGACACAGGCUCCCCCUUCACCGGGGAAGCCGCCUGAUGUUGACCUCGGAUCGGGUAGGACGACCCGCUGAACUUAA